ACUACCGGUACUUGUUAAUCUUGCUUUACGUAGGACUUCCAGAGUCACCGUGUAGUUUUUGGUGAAAGUCAUGGGCAUUUUCCUGGCAGAAUGGAUUAGUGCACUUCGUCUGAAGAGCAUUGAUCGUUAACAAGUUUACACAGCUUAUUCGGGGCUUUGAAAACAUGUCAAUGUUACGAAACAUUCAUGCUGUUCAAACAUAAUCGCAAUCUACUGAAUGAAAAAUGAGUCGGAAGGUAAACACCAAAAAUGAAUGGCUCAAUAUGUCCAUGAAAGGAUACUUUGUCCGAGGUGAAAGCGUUAGCGACACCGGUCCUAUGGGCGGGCACGGCAGACGCCGAUUCCCAAACACUUGAUGAACUUCUGAAAAUGCCCGGGAUUAACACUUCAAAGGCAGACGUCAACAAAUAUAGGAGGUUCGCCGACUUUAUCUGCAUUGAGAAAGUGCGAUUAACGGAUUAAAAGUGUCUCCAGACUCGGACGAUGAUAAAUGGCUACGCAACUGAGUCACUUCGAUUUUGAAUUCGAAACGCCAAACGGUUCCGAUUCGUCAAGAUCAGAUAUUAGACAUGCGCGUGAAAGUGGUUGAAUCAUUUUCCUACGUGAUGUUAAUAAACAUGGAGGCGAUUAUUUGUGAAAGAUCUGAAGUGUUUUGAAAUCAAUAUUAACAGUUGAUAAUGAAUUACAAACAAUGUAUCAAUUGAAGCCGGUUUAUAUCUUGAAGUAAAGAUAUGUUUACCAUAUUUACGACAUUGUGAAAUAGUUUAACUCAGUUUUCUACAGGCAUUAAGGUUUGUCUUCCCAUACAAAGUCACGUUUUCUUACAAUUUAUCCAAAUAAACAAGCUUAGAAUGUAUUAAUUGUAACUUUUAAUUUAUUGCGCUUAUUAAUUUGUAUAUGUUCAUUUUUUUAUAUAUUUAUUAAACAAUGAAUGGCGUUAA